GUGCGAUGAGUCAACAGGCAGAUGCAGACAUGUUGGAAGAACAGCAGGAGCAGACAGAGGAAGUGCAUCUGGAUACACAGGAUGGAGAAGAUUCUUUCAGCUUGGAGGUGGAAGACGAGUUCCACCAUAGUGUGACUCCUGAAGGCGCUGCCUACGAUGAUGUCGGUGAGGGAGCGUACAGUUGUAUAGAUGAUUUCCCUGCAAGACCGGUGUAUGCUUCACCCUCCAAAUAUAAAAACUACUAGAUGCAGUUGUCAUCAGAGUUUAAUGACAGUUAAAUGUAUAAAUGGAGCACCUACUUGUCUUGUACCCCUGUUUUCUUCAGUCCAGGAGUUUAGCAGCACAACUGGUGAAAGGCAUGAUCCUUAUGGAGUAUGUUUAACCCUCUUGUUGUCCUGCAGGUCAAAACUGACCCGUUUUAAAGUUUGAAGAUGCGGGAAAAAAAAUAUUUUCACAGUGAUUUUUUUGUGAAUUUUCUUAAAGAAAAUAUUAAAUGUUUUACUGAUAUAUAUGUAAUCACUUCAGACAUUUUUAGGAUUUUUUUUUAGAAGAUUUUGACUAAUUUUUUGAAAAUAUUUACAAGAAUUUCUUGCCAAAUUUGGGGGAUUUUUUUUUUUUUAAAUAAAACUUUUAAGGGAAACUUUUAAGAAAUUAUUGUAAUUUUCUUCCUGAAGGUUUUGAAAAUUUUCAGAAAUUUGGGGAUUUUUUUUUUUUUUUGCUGAAUUUGUGUAUUUUUUCAGACAAGGAAACAAUAUUUUUUUGUGACCAUAAAUGAGGACAACAGGAAGGUUAAAAUGCCCUAUAUUUAUUGAUAACCCAGAACAAGAAGAAGAAGAAGAAGAAGAAGAAGAACAAAGAAAAAGUUUUCUUGUGGGUGUUUUGUCCUAACCAAUAAAAUUCAAAUCUUUACAUUAUUUGAUCAAAACGAUGCAGGUGCUUAUAUACUGUAGUUUGCUUCAAAUCAUGAAUAAUGCAUUUGUUACAGCCAUAAUUCUGUUUACUGAUUUUAUUUUUCAUCAAAGGGGACAUUCUAGACAUGUUUGUCUUUAUUAUUUCUAUUGUUCAAUUAUCCAAUUGUAUAAAGCAUUUUAGUUGCAUUUGGCCAUACUGUCAGAGGGGUUAUAGCUGCAUAAAGGGGACCAUCACAGUAUUAGGCAAGUGGUCAUGUUAUGAAUGAUUGGUGUAAGCAAUCCAGGGCUGGCAUUUGUAAUUCUGUCUCAGUUACAGAUGAUGUAUUAAAACUAUGUUAAAGUGCCACUGGUUUUUAUUGCAAGUCAGUCCCAGAAAAUGAUGUGUAUUUGUCUCUAAUGUCGGCUUCAUUCGAUGCUCAUUGAAUAAAUUUAUCUGAAUGUGAGACAUGCUAACG